UGGGGAAUAUUGGACAAUGGGGGAAACCCUGAUCCAGCAAUGCCGCGUGAGUGAAGAAGGCCUUAGGGUUGUAAAGCUCUUUCGCCCGCGAAGAUAAUGACGGUAACCGGAGAAGAAGCCCCGGCUAACUUCGUGCCAGCAGCCGCGGUAAUACGAAGGGGGCUAGCGUUGUUCGGAAUUACUGGGCGUAAAGCGCACGUAGGCGGAUCGAUCAGUUAGGGGUGAAAUCCCGGGGCUCAACCCCGGAACUGCCUCUAAUACUGUCGAUCUGGAGUUCGAGAGAGGUGAGUGGAAUUCCGAGUGUAGAGGUGAAAUUCGUAGAUAUUCGGAGGAACACCAGUGGCGAAGGCGGCUCACUGGCUCGAUACUGACGCUGAGGUGCGAAAGCGUGGGGAGCAAACA
rnacentral:rRNA from 1 species